CGCUAUACUAACCGCUGAAAUUGUCGCCCCAUCACCUACGGGGCGGUUUUCAAUGUGU
rnacentral:sRNA from 2 species